rnacentral:rRNA from 1 species
CAUACGUCCUACGGAGAAAGCAGGGGACCUUCGGGCCCUUGCGCUAUCAGAUGAGCCUAGGUCGGGAUUAGCUAGUUGGGUGAGGUAAUGGCUCACCAAGGCGACGAUCCGUAACUGGUCUGAGAGGGAUGAUCAGUCACACUGGAACUGAGACACGGUCCAGACUCCUACGGGAGGCAGCAGUGGGGAAUAUUGGACAAUGGGCGAAAGCCUGAUCCAGCCAUGCCGCGUGUGUGAAGAAGGUCUUCGGAUUGUAAAGCACUUUAAGUUGGGAGGAAGGGCAUUAACCUAAUACGUUAGUGUUUUGACGUUACCGACAGAAUAAGCACCGGCUAACUUCGUGCCAGCAGCCGCGGUAAUACGAAGGGUGCAAGCGUUAAUCGGAAUUACUGGGCGUAAAGCGCGCGUAGGUGGUUCGUUAAGUUGGAUGUGAAAGCCCCGGGCUCAACCUGGGAACUGCAUCCAAAACUGGCGAGCUAGAGUACGGUAGAGGGUGGUGGAAUUUCCUGUGUAGCGGUGAAAUGCGUAGAUAUAGGAAGGAACACCAGUGGCGAAGGCGACCACCUGGACUGAUACUGACACUGAGGUGCGAAAGCGUGGGGAGCAAACAGGAUUAGAUACCCUGGUAGUCCACGCCGUAAACGAUGUCAACUAGCCGUUGGGUUCCUUGAGAAACUUAAGUGGCGCAGC